UGGGGGCAGAAGCAAUGUCAUUAUCAUUCGAGUGAGAGAUCGAAGUAGACUGAUCAUAAGACUCUACGAAGGCUUGCUCAGAACCGUGAGGCAGCAAGGAAAAGCCGGUUGAGGAAAAAAGUCUACACUCCGAGGAUUGCGCCUUAUGCGAGGAAUUUGAUGUGGUUCGUGAGCAAUGGGCCAAGUUUUUUACCAGCAAGUAUUUAUUAUUGGCUUUAGCGCGCUUGAUCGAGUUGGUUUAGUUGUUAUAGAAUAAAUUUUAUAUUAAAAUGUAUGUUUAUGUUGAAAUUGGAACAUAUAUUUAAAUGUAAUAUGUGCACUUAAUUUGGUUUUGGGAUAUAUAGUAUACAAAACUCCAGUUGUUGUUUUUA